rnacentral:lncRNA from 1 species
AAGGCUUGGGUAGAUCGUAAAGUUUCUUGCAGAGUUUCGCAGGAUUCAUGGUGAGGACCUAAUCACACUGUUCAACCAAGGACUACAAAGACUGGCAGAACCCCUUUCUGGACUUCACAAAGAUAGAUGCAAAUGAGCCAAGAAAGAUGUGACAGUUUACUUCCCGGAAGCUAAGAAGAAAUUGCCAUACAGAUUCUACCAACCUUUUUCAAGGAAGACCUGGUGAUAUAUUCAUCUCAAGUGACAAGGUUGAUACGAAGCCCAUGUACAUAUGUGUAUCCUGCAAUCAAGAGGAAUCAUAUGAGCUUGUUCUGGAGGAGCAAAGAGUCUGUCAAGUCCAGGAUAAAGUGCAUGCAUUGGCUUGUUAAGUAGCUGGUUUUUAUUUUUCAUUCAGCCUAUGGCUAUGAGCCAUCAGUCAUGAAAAUUCGUGAGUUUUGCCAACUUGGAAUUCUUCAGGUGAAAGAUGCAUGUCCUGUUGAUAAAUCUGUUAUCAACCUUCUGAACAUGUUGAAGAAGAAAGUGCCCUCCAAACAGGGAAGUAACUGAAGUCUGGCUGAAGUCAUGGAACAGCUGUUUUUAAGUCACACAGCAUGUCCUUUAUGUUAAAAUUGUUACAAGUUGAAAGAUUGUAAGUACAGUUGUAUUGAUAAAUUGUGAUUUUUUGAAAGAGAUUUGAAAAAGAAAGUUUAAAGUCACAUUCAGAGCACAGUAGAUGGAGAUGGCUCACACACUUGAUGAAGCAUAUUCUAUGGAAGCUCAAAAGUGCCACCGAGAUGUUGAGAAGUCGACAUCAUGGUAGCAAAAGAUCAAAUGACGAGAUCCUGGAUCUCAUCAUGUCCACAUCUUUCAGAAGAGAUGAUCAGCAGACAAGAUCCCGGAUCUC